GGGGAUUUAGCUCAGUGGUAGAGCGCUUGCCUAGGAAGCGCAAGGCCCUGGAUUCGAUCCCCAGCUCCG
rnacentral:tRNA from 1 species